UUCGUGAGUGCGGAGAUUGGGAUUAGUUCCCAAUCUCAAAACUCACACACUCACGGACUUUGAUGCGCGCUCCUGUAAAGGGUUUAGGGCUGUCCGACUGUCAAGUCAUCGACUGUUUGGGGGCUCUCGCGCAGGCAUUUGAAGGCUGUCAUGAACUCUUUCGUGAAUCUGCAUUCCUAGGCCUUGCUCAAGGGAUUAACCGGUGGAAGCAUGGAAAUGCAAAAAAGGAAGGUCAACAAAGAGGUCUGCAUAUGGGGGUUCUGGCUGGCAAAUUUUAUUUACUCAAAAAACUUUAAGGGUUGAAGAUGGAAAACAAAAACGCAGAUUAUUUGAAAUCAACUCACUUUUUUUACAUUGUCAUGGUGACAUGUUGCAGAAAAGUUCCGUCCGAGUCCCACUUCACACCAUUUACAAACCGUGCAUCUCUCGCCCCUCCACUAGCAAGGUGGUGUCAUGAAGUGCUGAGGGUUCAGGGGCAACGGCUUUAGGAGGAAAAAUAGGAUUGGGCUUCAGCCUCUGCUGAGCCCUACUAUUACCUCACCCCUCGAUAUUGCAUGUCAAGACAGAGUUAUCCGAGCACCUUUACCAUGAAUAAUAGCCUCAUUAAAAACUCAUCUUAAAAAAUAAACACAGGAUGCGCAUGAGAGAAAUUGUGUUUUGAAUUGGAAAAAAAUUGUCAAUUUUCCCUUCAGUAAAAAUUCUUUCUUGCUUGCUAUUUUCUUUCUGCCUUAACGCAGUGAACCGUAACCAUGGUCUUUACUCAUUACUCUUUUACGUCAAUCUUGACAGCUCCAUUUGUGAGAAGUGAUUGACAGAGCCAAGCUCAGACAAAAUCAUUUUGAGAUACUUUAUAUCUACACGUCCAUGUAACGAUGAUGAGUGAAACAGUAGCCAGGUUAAUAAAUAAAUAAAUGUGAAGAUAAAAAAAUAAAUGCUGAAAUAAAUGUGGAAAUAAGUAAAUGAAUGUAACCAUAAAUAAAUAUAAGUUGAUAAUAAAAAAGGUAAUUUAUUUAUUUCUACAUGUAUGUUCUCCUACAUUUAUUCAUGUAUUCAUUUAUGGGUCUGUAUCAUAUAUUUAUUUCUACAUUUCUGUUCGCCUACAUUUUCGCAUAUAUUUAUGCGUGUGUCUGUAUGCUAAUGAGGUGGGCGGUGCUAACCUCUGUCUGAAGCAGGAUUGGUGAGAGGAGUGUGACGCUCCUGGUCUACUCUUUCUGUCUUGAAGUUCGCUCCUCGGCAGAAGCUGUUAGCAUUUGGCUACAUGCUAUUUACGAACCAUUUCAAAUCAAUUGCAAUCGUUAGCAAACGAUUUAGAGAAGCGCGUUAAGAAAGACACGCGUCAGUUUCUGCUGGAUAAAGUGAAUGAAGACGUGGAUGUGGAAGCUGACCAAACAGUGGUGAUACGAUGGACGUCCGUCGUAUAUUUUAUUCUCCUUUGGGGUCAACAUGGCGCAGCUGCUCGGAGGAUGCUGCAGUACGGAAUGAGGUUAUGAAGUGUUUUUUCUGGUUUCAUUUACUAUCUUUUAAAAGUAGCUUUAUAUCAUUUUGCAAAUGCACGUAAUAUUUACUGAUGGUAAGUUUUAUGAACUUUUUACACAGUUGCUAUGGAAUAAACUUUGCAGUAUAUAAGAUAAUUUGCAACCCAGUUACUUAAUUAAAUAAAGUUGAAUGUGGUCCGAUUUUGCACCUUUUUAAUUAAGCAAAACUGCUUCAGUUUGACCCUUAUGAUGGUGCUGCAUUCAGAAACUCAACAAGUGAAAUAUUAAUUGCGUGUAAAAUGGAUAUGGCCAAAUGUAUUUAGGCAGCAGGUUCAGGUUAAAGCUCUAUUUUUUUUUACAGCACAUAGCUGGGUUCAGACUAACACAGGAACACACAGUCUCUUAAAAUAAUCUCAAAUUUAAACCGCACUUUAAGACAGAUCGAUGUUGACUUGUGACCAACAUGUGAUAUUUGUACUGUGAGUCAGGUCACAUUGCUUUUGUUGUCUCUUCUGACUUUUGUCUUGUUGUUUUUGAUGACCAGAGUCCACGCCCUAUAAACUCCAUUAGAGGACAACGGUUUGGAUGAAACUGGGACUCAAAUUCUGCAGCAACAUCCCAACCCUGGAUACCAAAUGGUGGUUUGGCAUUUGAAUGCACCACGCACACGUUUACAAGAAACACCUUCAGGUUAUCCAGGAUGGCUGGACCUGCUGCGACUACGUACGGAGGGAAACCAGUCCACCCCGCAACUGUGGAGUCUCCAAGAACACGAGGCACAGCAGGACCCAGUACAGAUCCACAUGGAGGUUGGAGUUGACUGGACCGCGUGGUCAUCGUCAGCCUGCUGUUCUGGUCCCUGAACUUCAGCUGCAAUGCUGAAGGCCCCCUGUCCAAUGUGUUGGAUGUCUUUGGACAAACUGUAUGCUUAGUGUUCAACAUGCUCCAGUAAAUGCCUCUAUCACCAGCUGCAUGACGCAGGGGGAAG